CGGACCGGCGCACGGGUGCGUAACGCGUAUGCAACCUACCUUUAACAGGGGGAUAACCCGGAGAAAUCCGGACUAAUACCCCAUAAUAUGGGCGCUCCGCAUGGAGAGCCCAUUAAAGAGAGCAAUUUUGGUUACAGACGAGCAUGCGCUCCAUUAGCCAGUUGGCGGGGUAACGGCCCACCAAAGCGACGAUGGAUAGGGGUUCUGAGAGGAAGGUCCCCCACAUUGGAACUGAGACACGGUCCAA
rnacentral:rRNA from 1 species